rnacentral:lncRNA from 1 species
CUAUUCAAACAUACUCUCCUUAUCUCUGUUACACAGAAACAAGUGAAAACGUUCUAAGACUUCUAAUUCCUGUUCUUCUAGGAACCCUACAAAUGCCUAAUCUCUAGAAAUAUUAGCAGACUUCCAACUCCCCGUACUGUCUGCCAUCACAACUCUUGUCUAAAAAUUCCUCUGCUGAAAAGUGAAAGUGGAGCUGCCAGGCAGUUUAGUAAAAAUGUUCAGCCAUUUAGAAAGACUUUUUAGGCCUCUACCAGGAUUGUUCCCUGUCUGUCUGCACCCACUGUCUUCUACAGAAGUCAUUGUGUGAGAAAAAAAUGUGUGAGCUACAAUGUCAAAGUACUUUAACUGCAUAUUUGAAUGAAGAAAACAUGAAUAUAAUAUACAUAAUCUGGUUCCUAGGCACGACAUAUGGGAGUCACACUGGCAAGCCUCCAGUCUUCUGGGACCUCACCAGUCAACAAGGAGUGCUGAUAGAUGAUGGAAGGCGGCUCGGCUAUCACCUCUGCCAGUUCCCUCAGCACUCUCAGGUGGAUCUCAUCCGGCACCGUGGACUUCUGGCAGUCCAAUUGGAGUAGCAGGAUGUAGAUUCUCUUUUUCUCCUGAAGCCUCAAGAAGAGCUCCCUAUUCUUCCACACUGGUCUUCUUCCACGUAGGCUCAUUUUGCAUCUCAGGGGGACAGCCUGCUCCUGUGCCUUUAAGACUUCCUUCUUGAAGAGCGACCAACCAUCUUG